GGAGAAGGAGUGAAGGAGAUUAGAGUGGGUGGGUGGCAAUCAGCCAGAAAGCACUGAAAGGUUUUAAAGCGGUGAAAUAGCUACAGUCUAUUUCUGCUGUAGAAGUAGUGUGGCUACAAUGUGCGUAACAUUGGAAUGGGACAAGACUGGAGGCAGGGAGGCCACAUAGAAGAAUGGUGACUUGAACUAAGUUGCAAUGGAGAAGGAAGAGAGGUGGACUCAAGAGGGAAUGUAAGACUCAAAUGAGGAAAUGCAAUGAAAGCAAUUUGAAAAGUGUACAACACUGUGCAGAUAAUAGAAUUGUUAUGAGGCCUCUGUUCUGAAAGCCAGAGAAGAUAACACCCUAAAGAAAUAAUAGACCAUCUCAUAAAGAAGUUUCAUUGUUUUGGACUGAUGAUGCUUCACAAGUGUCUACCAGUGAACUACAAGCAACAUUGCUUGAAAUGUGGAUCUUAUAAAAAAAAUUCAAACACCAAAGUACUGGAGUCGCCAUAUUGAUGAUGCUUUCUAUCCUGAGAAUCCAUGUCUAUGUUGCUAGUUGUAACAUCUCUGUGUUCCUCGCAAAGACAACAGUCCUUGGAUAAAUUCAUACAUUUUCCUAGCGUCAUAUAAUUAGUAAGUGGAAGACCUAAGAUUUAAAUCUAGGGCUGUCUGAUUCCAACGUACAUGCUUUUAUUUGCCUCUUUUCCUCCUAUAUGUAAAUGCCCCCCAGUAUUUCAGGGCAUUUUCCUAACUUAUCAGACCACAGGGAUACUUUAUUUUUUGGGACGGAGUUUCGCUGUUUUGCCCAGGCUGGAGUGCAAUGGCACGAUCUCGGCUCACUUCAAUCUGCGUCUCCCGGCUUCAAGCGAUUCUUCUGCCUCAGCCUCCUGAGUAGCUGGGACUACAGGCAUGCACCACCACGCCUGGCUAAUUUUUGUAUUUUUAGUAGAGACAGGGUUUCGCAGUGUUUUUCAGGCUAGUCUCAAACUCCUGACCUCAGGUGAU
rnacentral:lncRNA from 1 species